rnacentral:rRNA from 1 species
ACUUCGGCUCAGUAACACGUGGACAACUUACCCAAGUAGUCCGGGAUAACCCCGGGAAACUCGGGGAUAAUACCGGAUAGAUCAUCUUUGCUCGGAAGGCUUGGUGGUUGAAACUUCCGGGGCUUUUGGAUGGGUCUGCGGCUGAUUAGGUUGUUGCCGGUGUAACGUACCGUCAAGCCUGUAAUCAGUACGGGUUGUGGGAGCAAGAGCCCGGAGAUGGAUUCUGAGACACGAAUCCAGGCCCUACGGGGCGCAGCAGGCGCGAAAACUCUACAAUGCAGGCAACUGCGAUAGGGGAACAUCGAGUGAUCCUCAUAUUGGGGGUCUGUCCACCUGUCUAAAAAACGGGUGUUAGCAAGGGCCGGGCAAGACCGGUGCCAGCCGCCGCGGUAAUACCGGCGGCUCGAGUGGUGGCCGAUAUUAUUGAGUCUAAAGGGUCCGUAGCCGGCUUUGCAAGUCUCUCGGGAAAUCCAGCGGCUUAACCGUUGGUCGUCCGGGGGGUACUACAUUGCUUGGGACUGGGAGAGGUAGGAGGUACUCAGGGGGUAGGAGUGAAAUCCUGUAAUCCUUUGGGGACCACCGGUGGCGAAGGCGUCCUACCAGAACAGGUCCGACGGUGAGGGACGAAAGCUAGGGGCACGAACCGGAUUAGAUACCCGGGUAGUCCUAGCCGUAAACGAUGCUCGCUAGGUGUCACAACAGUCGUGAAUUGUUGUGGUGCCGUAGGGAAGCCGUGAAGCGAGCCACUUGGGAAGUACGACCGCAAGGUUGAAACUUAAAGGAAUUGGCGGGGGAGCA